GAUGAACGCUGGCGGCGUGCCUAAUACAUGCAAGUCGAGCGAACGGACGAGAAGCUUGCUUCUCUGUUGUUAGCGGCGGACGUGUGUGUAACACGUGGAUCACCUCCCUAUCUUACUGGUAACACUUCGAGACACCGGAUCUAAUACCGGAUGAUAUUUUGAACCGCAGUGUUCAAUGGUGAAAGACGGCCUUUCUGUCUCUUAUCGAUGCUUCCCCGCUGCAUUGUCUAGUUGUGACGUUAAAGGCUUACCAAGGCAACGAUGCAUAGCCGACCUCAGAGAGUGAUCGGCCACACGAGAACUGAGACACGCACCAGAGUACUACGGGAGGCAGCAGUAGCGAAUCUUCGGCAAUGGGCGAGAAUCUUACGGAACAACGCGACGUCAGUUAUGAAGACGUUAGGAGCGUAAAACCCUGUUAUUAGGGAUGAACAGAUGUGUCAGUAACUGAACACAUCUUGACGGUACUGAAUAAAAAAGCCCCGGCUAACUACGUG
rnacentral:rRNA from 1 species